rnacentral:rRNA from 1 species
GAUGAACGCUGGCGGCGUGCCUAAUACAUGCAAGUCGAGCGAACAGACGAGGAGCUUGCUCCUCUGACGUUAGCGGCGGACGGGUGAGUAACACGUGGAUAACCUACCUAUAAGACUGGGAUAACUUCGGGAAACCGGAGCUAAUACCGGAUAAUAUAUUGAACCGCAUGGUUCAAUAGUGAAAGACGGUUUUGCUGUCACUUAUAGAUGGAUCCGCGCCGCAUUAGCUAGUUGGUAAGGUAACGGCUUACCAAGGCAACGAUGCGUAGCCGACCUGAGAGGGUGAUCGGCCACCCUGGAACUGAGCCACGGUCCAGACUCCUACGGGAGGCCGCAGUCGGGAAUCUUCCGCAAUGGGCGAAAGCCUGACGGAGCAACGCCGCGUGAGUGACGAAGGUCUUCGGAUCGUAAAACUCUGUUAUUAGGGAAGAACAACUGUGUAAGUAACUAUGCACGUCUUGACGGUACCUAAUCAGAAAGCCCCGGCUAACUACGUG